UACGUAGGCAGCGAGCGUUGUUCGGAAUUACUGGGCGUAAAGAGUGUGUAGGCGGUGCUCCAAGUUCGGUGUGAAAUCUCCCGGCUUAACUGGGAGGGUGCGCCGGAAACUGGAGUGCUCGAGCGUGGGAGAGGAAAGCGGAAUUCCUGGUGUAGCGGUGAAAUGCGUAGAUAUCAGGAGGAACACCUGCGGUGUAGACGGCUUUCUGGACCAUUGCUGACGCUGAGACACAAAAGCGUGGGUAGCAAACAGG
rnacentral:rRNA from 1 species